rnacentral:misc_RNA from 1 species
UCCAGCUUAUCGCUGGCGGUCUCCUGCGAGUGCCGCCUUUCGGCAUGGUAACACAGGACAAGGGUUGCGCUCGUUGCGGGACUUAACCCAACAUCUCACGACACGAACUGACGACAGCCAUGCAGCACCUGUGCAAGAGCUCCCUUGCGGGCACCCUUCCCUUUCAGGAAGAUUCUCAAGCAUGUCAAGACUAGGAUAAGGUUCUUCGCGUAGCCUCGAAUUAAGCCACAUCCUCCACCGCUUGUGUGAGCCCCCGUCAAUUCCUUUGAGUUUCAGCCUUGCGACCAUACUCCCCAGGCGGGAGGCUUAAUGCGUUAGCUGCGCCACUGAUGAGCAAGCUCACCAACGGCUAGCCUCCAUCGUUUACGGCGUGGACUAC